rnacentral:rRNA from 1 species
AGCGAACGCUGGCGGCAGGCCUAACACAUGCAAGUCGAACGGAUCCUUCGGGAUUAGUGGCGGAUGGGUGAGUAACACGUGGGAACGUGCCCUUUGGUUCGGAACAACUCAGGGAAACUUGAGCUAAUACCGGAUGUGCCCUUCGGGGGAAAGAUUUAUCGCCAUUGGAGCGGCCCGCGUCUGAUUAGCUAGUUGGUGAGGUAACGGCCCACCAAGGCGACGAUCAGUAGCUGGUCUGAGAGGAUGAUCAGCCACACUGGGACUGAGACACGGCCCAGACUCCUACGGGAGGCAGCAGUGGGGAAUCUUGCGCAAUGGGCGAAAGCCUGACGCAGCCAUGCCGCGUGAAUGAUGAGGGUCUUAGGAUUGUAAAAUUCUUUCAGCGGGGACGAUAAUGACGGUACCCGCAGAAGAAGCUCCGGCUAACUUCGUG